CCUACGGGGUGCAGCAGUGGGGAAUAUUGGACAAUGGGCGAAAGCCUGAUCCAGCCAUGCCGCGUGUGUGAAGAAGGCCUUCGGGUUGUAAAGCACUUUCAGUGGGGAAGAAAGCCUUGGGGCUAAUACCCUCGAGGAAGGACAUCACCCACAGAAGAAGCACCGGCUAACUCCGUGCCAGCAGCCGCGGUAAUACGGAGGGUGCGAGCGUUAAUCGGAAUUACUGGGCGUAAAGCGCGCGUAGGCGGUCUGAUAAGCCGGUUGGGAAAGCCCCGGGCUCAACCUGGGAACGGCAUCCGGAACUGUCAGGCUAGAGUGCAGGAGAGGAAGGUAGAAUUCCCGGUGUAGCGGUGAAAUGCGUAGAGAUCGGGAGGAAUACCAGUGGCGAAGGCGGCCUUCUGGACUGACACUGACGCUGAGGUGCGAAAGCGUGGGUAGCAAACAGGAUUAGAUACCCGGGUAGUC
rnacentral:rRNA from 1 species